CAUAAUCUGAAUUCCUUGAAUUUUGUUCAUUUGUCGUCCAGGCGCCCCCGGUCGCGGCGCCCGGGGCGAUUGCCCCACUCGCCCCGCCCACGUGACGGCCCUGAUUCAACAAUUCAGUCAUGAUGGCUGAAUUGUUGAAUGAUGAUAGGAAAACCUAUAUCUGUUUAUCUAUGCAAACUUUCACAUUAGGUACACUUAAGGAUAUUGAAAUGUUUGAAUGCAUUCAAAAACUUGUGAUCUUCUAUAUUUACUCAAUUCUUAUUCAUUUCUCAUCUAUUUCAUUUCAUUCUCUCUUUUCAGUAGACAUAAAAAGCUUACAUAAAUAGCUUACCAUCUUUCAAGUACCCAAUUCAUUUUACAACAUUCC
rnacentral:lncRNA from 1 species